CCAGUACUCCACCUUCGGCUUCCUUAUCGCGUAAAUGGCGCCGCGCCGGGCGGAUCUCCGUCGCCCGCGCGUACUUACCGGUCGUGCGCUGACCGAAGCCACGCGUGCCUGUGAUAUAUGCCUCCUUGGGUCGUCCUUGCCCAGCCUGUACCUCGGAGGUUAGCUGCACGCUGAGACUAAUUUACCCGAAGCCGCAUGAAGAGAGAGGAGAGCAUCGCCGCCGCGUCGAGCAUGUGGCAACCGGUGUCUGGGUCGCAGGGCAGAGGGGCGUUGGUGUCCGCUGGUGCCAAGGGUCAUCCGCGUGCAAGCAGCUGGUCGCACGCGUCCUCGAAUUUCCGGAGGUUCUUCGCCGAAGCACCCUGCGCGCCUGCUUCGCGGUCCGACGUGGUCGGCCUAUUUGGGCACCCAAUUGACCGGAGAAGAACAGGUAGCCCAGGAGGAGCCGCACAACGAGGAGUUCGACUUGAUCUAGGUGGCGUCUCCUAGUCGACUUUGUGGCGCCAAGGAUGGACUUUAGUUCGCUUUAUAUUUAUCUUUUAUUUUGCAAGACUUAAGCUAUGUAAUAAAUACUUUUAUGAUAUUAUGACAUUUAUCUCUAUA